GUGUUACUUCGGUAACACAUAUACUAAAAUUGGAACGAUACAGAGAAGAUUAGCAUGGCCCCUGCGCAAGGAUG
rnacentral:snRNA from 1 species